rnacentral:rRNA from 1 species
AUGAACGCUGGCGGCGUGCCUAAUACAUGCAAGUCGAGCGAACAGAUGAGGAGCUUGCUCCUCUGACGUUAGCGGCGGACGGGUGAGUAACACGUGGAUAACCUACCUAUAAGACUGGGAUAACUUCGGGAAACCGGAGCUAAUACCGGAUAAUAUAUUGAACCGCAUGGUUCAAUAGUGAAAGACGGUUUUGCUGUCACUUAUAGAUGGAUCCGCGCCGCAUUAGCUAGUUGGUAAGGUAACGGCUUACCAAGGCAACGAUGCGUAGCCGACCUGAGAGGGUGAUAGGCCACACUGGAACUGAGACACGGUCCAGACUCCUACGGGAGGCAGCAGUAGGGAAUCUUCCGCAAUGGGCGAAAGCCUGACGGAGCAACGCCGCGUGAGUGAUGAAGGUCUUCGGAUCGUAAAACUCUGUUAUUAGGGAAGAACAAAUGUGUAAGUAACUAUGCACGUCUUGACGGUACCUAAUCAGAAAGCCACGGCUAACUACGUG